rnacentral:misc_RNA from 1 species
GAUGAAGAACGUAGUGAAAUGCGAUAAGUAGUGUGAAUUGCAGAAUUCAGUGAAUCAUCGAAUCUUUGAACGCACAUUGCGCCCCUUGUUAUUCCAUGGGGCAUGCCUGUUCGAGCGUCAUUUGUACCUUCAAGCUCUGCUUGGUGUUGGGUGUUUGUCUCGCCUCUGCGUGUAGACUCGCCUCAAAACAAUUGGCAGCCGGCGUAUUGAUUUCGGAGCGCAGUACAUCUCGCGCUUUGCACUCAUAACGACGACGUCCAAAAGUACAUUUUUACACUCUUGACCUCGGAUCAGGUAGGGAUACCCGCUGAACUUAAGCAUAUCAAUAAGCGGAGA